rnacentral:rRNA from 1 species
UACGUAGGGGGCUAGCGUUGUCCGGAUUUAUUGGGCGUAAAGAGCGUGUAGGCGGCCAAACAGGUCAGCUGUGAAAACUCGAGGCUCAACCUCGAGACGUCGGUUGAAACCGUUUGGCUAGAGUCCGGAAGAGGAGAGUGGAAUUCCCGGUGUAGCGGUGAAAUGCGCAGAUAUCGGGAAGAACACCCGUGGCGAAGGCGGCUCUCUGGGCAAUAACUGACGCUGAGGAGCGAAAGCGUGGGGAGCGAACAGG